rnacentral:rRNA from 1 species
GACGAACGCUGGCGGCGUGCCUAAUACAUGCAAGUAGAACGCUGAAGAGAGGAGCUUGCUCUUCUUGGAUGAGUUGCGAACGGGUGAGUAACGCGUAGGUAACCUGCCUUGUAGCGGGGGAUAACUAUUGGAAACGAUAGCUAAUACCGCAUAACAAUGGAUGACACAUGUCAUUUAUUUGAAAGGGGCAAUUGCUCCACUACAAGAUGGACCUGCGUUGUAUUAGCUAGUAGGUGAGGUAAUGGCUCACCUAGGCGACGAUACAUAGCCGACCUGAGUGGGUGAUCGGCCACACUGGGACUGAGACACGGCCCAGACUCCUACGGGAGGCAGCAGUAGGGAAUCUUCGGCAAUGGGGGCAACCCUGACCGAGCAACGCCGCGUGAGUGAAGAAGGUUUUCGGAUCGUAAAGCUCUGUUGUAAGUCAAGAACGGGUGUGAGAGUGGAAAGUUCACACUGUGACGGUAGCUUACCAGAAAGGGACGGCUAACUACGUGCCAGCAGCCGCGGUAAUACGUAGGUCCCGAGCGUUGUCCGGAUUUAUUGGGCGUAAAGCGAGCGCAGGCGGUUUGAUAAGUCUGAAGUUAAAGGCUGUGGCUCAACCAUAGUUCGCUUUGGAAACUGUCAAACUUGAGUGCAGAAGGGGAGAGUGGAAUUCCAUGUGUAGCGGUGAAAUGCGUAGAUAUAUGGAGGAACACCGGUGGCGAAAGCGGCUCUCUGGUCUGUAACUGACGCUGAGGCUCGAAAGCGUGGGGAGCGAACAGGAUUAGAUACCCUGGUAGUCCACGCCGUAAACGAUGAGUGCUAGGUGUUGGAUCCUUUCCGGGAUUCAGUGCCGCAGCUAACGCAUUAAGCACUCCGCCUGGGGAGUACGACCGCAAGGUUGAAACUCAAAGGAAUUGACGGGGGCCCGCACAAGCGGUGGAGCAUGUGGUUUAAUUCGAAGCAACGCGAAGAACCUUACCAGGUCUUGACAUCCCGAUGCUAUUUCUAGAGAUAGAAAGUUACUUCGGUACAUCGGUGACAGGUGGUGCAUGGUUGUCGUCAGCUCGUGUCGUGAGAUGUUGGGUUAAGUCCCGCAACGAGCGCAACCCCUAUUGUUAGUUGCCAUCAUUCAGUUGGGCACUCUAGCGAGACUGCCGGUAAUAAACCGGAGGAAGGUGGGGAUGACGUCAAAUCAUCAUGCCCCUUAUGACCUGGGCUACACACGUGCUACAAUGGUUGGUACAACGAGUUGCGAGUCGGUGACGGCGAGCUAAUCUCUUAAAGCCAAUCUCAGUUCGGAUUGUAGGCUGCAACUCGCCUACAUGAAGUCGGAAUCGCUAGUAAUCGUGGAUCAGCACGCCGCGGUGAAUACGUUCCCGGGCCU